UAAAAGAGCGUCUGGCAGUGCUUUGCUCCUCAAUCCAUUGGGUUGACCUGCCUCUUUGCUCAGCUCUGUCUGUCUUGUGGAUUUGGGUUUGUUCUCGUGCUUUUGGAAACAUGUCUCAGUGCAAGCAAGGGUGCAAGGCCCCUCCCACCAAAACCGUCCCAUGCUGCCCUCCGGCCGUGAAGUGUCCCCCCAAAACCGUCCCAUGCUGCCCUCCGGUUGUGAAGUGUCCCCCCAAAACUAAGCAACCUCCAAAGGGCUGCUGUUGAUGAUGCUCCUUUUCGAUGACUGGGACUUCUAUCACCCUCCAGAUCUUGUUGAUGCGACCUCAACUGAUUCCUUCUUCACCCCACUUUGCAGUCCUGUUCUCUGUGAAACUGCUGAGUGCAGGGGUCCCCGUUUGUCCUAUCCUAUGUGCCUGCAUCACAUCAUUGCGGUGUGACAACAUCUUGUUGACCAACUUAAUUCCUGUCUGGAAUCCCCUUCUUGGGACAAUGGAGGGCUCUGCCAUGCUGUUGUGAAACACCCAGUGUUAUGACUGGUUUCAUUGUCUCCAGCACUCAUGGGCUGGUGGACAGCAAUAAAAAAUGAUCCCUUUCCUAGCAA